UGGAGAGUUUGAUCCUGGCUCAGAGCGAACGCUGGCGGCGUGGUUUAGGCAUGCAAGUCGAACGGACCGGGCUUUUACAGACGGCCAGUGGCGAACGGGUGAGUAACACGUGGGGAAUCUGCCCUCGAGCGGGGGACAACAUCCCGAAAGGGAUGCUAAUACCGCAUAAGCUCACGAUCCCGAUGGGGAUUGAGAGAAAAGCCGGGGACCGUAAGGCCUGGCACUCGAGGAUGACCCCGCGGUCCAUCAGCUAGUUGGUGAGGUAACGGCCCACCAAGGCGACGACGGAUAGCUGGCCUGAGAGGGUGGUCAGCCACACUGGGACUGAGACACUGCCCAGACUCCUACGGGAGGCUGCAGUCGAGGAUAUUUUUCAAUGGGCGCAAGCCUGAAAAUGCGACGCCGCGUGCGGGAUGAAGGCCUUCGGGUCGUAAACCGCUGUCAGGAGGGAAGAAUCGCCGCCGGACGAAUAAUCCGGCGGCUUGACGGUACCUCCAGAGGAAGCCACGGCUAACUCCGUGCCAGCAGCCGCGGUAAGACGGAGGUGGCAAGCGUUGCUCGGAUUCAUUGGGUGUAAAGGGUCAGUAGGCGGUUCUGUAAGUGCCCGGUGA
rnacentral:rRNA from 1 species